UGUGUGUAUAUAUAUUUAUUUAGAUGGACCACAUAUAAUAUUAUCUUGUCCAUUUUACUUGGUCAUUUGUCAUUCCGUUAUGGUAAUCAAAUAUAGAUGACUACGCCACAAGUUUUUAUCCUUUUACUACACGUAUGCAUAAUCAAUAUACGAUGAAUUUAUCAUAUUCAUGAUAUACCUUUCAGCUAAUCAACAACAAUCAUACUAUAUUGAUUAAUUACCAUAUUUUAUCUUCACCAUCAAAUAGAAACUAGAUUAUUGGACUAUCCAUUCAUAGUCAGUAUCUUCUCUAUUUCAAUUACUAAAGAUUAACAAGGUAAUUGUACUAACCCAUAUUAAGGUUAAGGGUCAAGAAUCAUGUAACCCUCUCACCAAUCACUCAUGAUUCAUCUCAAUCUCUUCUUGUUUCGGGGUUUACUUUAUGAUCUACAAAUGAAUUAAAUGUUAUAGGGUACUAAAUUAUUGUCUCAACUAGGGAUGAAACUCAAGAACAUAAAAACCUUGUGAAAAUAUACAUGAACUAUUACCACUACUAGAAAGUUGAAACUCUCGAAUUUCCUGCGGCUUACACUGAAAUUUCCGCAGGUUUGCCAAGGAAUAAGGUUCCCAGGUAAUACAAUUGUUUCUGAGGAUUUUAGGAACCCAGGAAAUCAACCUGCGGAAAUUUCCUUAGGAAAUUGGACAAAAAUCCGCAGGAAACCUUUGGUCAUAUAUGUAUGAGUUUUGCUGCCCUUGAAACGUUUUCUGAAGAAAAAACGGCAGGUACUUCCGCAACAAAUGCAGCAGGAAAAUCGGCAGCAAAAUAGUUUUCGCAGGAAAAUCCACGGAAAUGAGAAAAAAGCUAAAAAAUAUUUCCAGAACUAAGAUGGAAAAAUGUCCAUCAGAAAAGGCAUGGAAUAUAACAAUCAUAACAGUAAGCUAAAUAUUUUAUACUAACCAAGAGUAACACAAUUCAAAGUCAAACACUUUAUGUGCCUUCUCCAAACACUCACAAAUGCACGCUUGGCAUACAUCAGAUCAAACUUGUGAUCGAUGCGACCAAACACCUCAGCUACACUUGUGGAGUUUGAAAUCAUGCAAACUGCCCUCUGUACCUUAGCAAGGUCACCACCAGGAACAACAGUAGGUGGCUGAUAGUUAAUACCACACUUGAAACCAGUAGGGCACCAAUCCACAAACUGAAUGGUCCUCUUGGUUCUGAUUGUCGCGACAGCAGCAUUCACAUCCUUGGGAACAACAUCACCACGGUACAUCAAACAGCAAGCCAUGUACUUUCCAUGGCGAGGGUCACACUUAACCAUCAUAGAUGAUGGCUCAAAAGCACUGUUAGUAAUUUCAGCAACUGAAAGCUGCUCAUGAUAAGCCUUCUCAGCAGAGAUAACUGGAGCAAAUGAAGAAAGCAUGAAAUGAAUUCUGGGAUAUGGGACCAAGUUGGUCUGGAAUUCAGUCACAUACCUGAACACAAUCAAAAACAAAUAUUAACUCAACAUUCACUACAUCAAAACAAGUAACUGUACUCGUGGUGGGCUGUUAAGUCCAUAGUUGUUGCAACAAUAUGCAAACUAGAGGUUGUUAUAGCCAUCUAGUAGCGGGGCACUAUGGGUUGUAGAAGCUCCAGAACCAGUAAUAGUUUAAUUUCAUCUUCUUACUUAUCUCUCUUGCAUUCGAAAUUCAAACAACGAUUUAUCAAUAUAAAGUUUAAGAAUCUUGCACAGUCAAACCACAUAUAAUUUACAUCAAGUAUAUACUAACAAUGCAUGCAUCAUGGUUUAUUCAACUAAUGGAUAGAUAUAAGCUAAAAUCCAAAAAUACCCUAAUCUUAAAUCUCCUUUUUCUAAGUUUCCAUUUCCUUAGGUUGAGCUAAAAAUAUCAAUUCAUCAAUUGCAUGCGGAUUCUAGGGUUAAUUAAUUACCAUUUCCUUAGAUGAAGAUAAAUGAUUGAAGUCAGAUUCAAAUUACCAUUUUUCUCUCACUAAAAUGGUAAUUCACAUCUUACCCUAUCAUAGUUCCUAAUUUUAUUUUCUUUCUUAAACCCCUAACCAUCCUUAGUACACUAAGGAAAACUCCUAAUUAGGCACUAGUUGGUAUUCUAAAUGUUCGGAUAUUACACUUACCCAAUGGAGUGACAUGCAAAUAACUUCUUUUAUAGAAGGCUUAAUAGCAGUUUUCGCCCCCUAACUUUUAUGAAGUUGUGAUUUUGGCCCCCUAAGAAAAAAACUACAAAAUCGCCCCCUAAGUUUUGCAACUGUAGCAGUUUUGACCCCAG
rnacentral:lncRNA from 1 species